rnacentral:lncRNA from 10 species
UUAUCCCACCGAGGCCACCAUAGACCAGCCAGCCCUCAGCGUACAUGCCAGCUAAUUACAGAUGCAGGAGCAAACCCCUGGCCCAUACAUCAAUUUUAAUGUCAUUGAAUACAGAGAACAAAUCUCAUUCACUUUGGUAUCGGCUGGAGUCAACAAACAUUUAAAAAUCAUUUACUGCGUCUGAUUUUGGAUUUUGAGUCUUGCUCUAUGGCCCAGACUGGAGUGCAGUGGCGUGAUCUCAGCUCACUUCAACCUCCACCUCCCGGGUUCGAGAGAGAUUCUCCUGCCUCAUCCUCCCGAGUAGCUGGGAUCACCGGCGCCCACAACCACACCCGGCUAAUUUUUGUACUUUUAGUGGAGACAGGGUUUCACCAUGUUGGCUAGGCUGGUCACAAACUCCCGACCUCAGGUUAUCCAUCUGCCUUGGCCUCCCAAAGUGCUGGGAUUACAGGCGUGAGCCCCCGCACCUGGCCAAGAUCAGCUAGAUUUUGGAAGCAUUGCCUUCUACAGAAUCCACAGUAGUCCGAAGCUCUUCUACGGUUUUUGUCAAACUUUGAUUUUCCAUCUCUAGCUUCAAUAAUCUACUUGAUGUCAACUCAUUCACCUCAUGGCCCAGGGAUUUCUGGGGUGCUAUAAUAUUGAAAAAUACACCAUUGUAUUUACUCUUUACUGUUUUUACUAUGUUUACUCUUUACUAUUUAAAAAGUUGAGUGUAUAUGCAUUGCAUCAUCUGAUCCUUAACUUUAUUAAAAAUUCAAUGAGGUUAUAUAAGAUAAACAA